rnacentral:rRNA from 1 species
AACGAACGCUGGCGGCAUGCCUAACACAUGCAAGUCGAGGGGUAUUGGUUUUCGGACCAAGAGACCGGCGCACGGGUGCGUAACGCGUAUGCAAUCUACCUUUUGCAGAGGGAUAGCCCAGAGAAAUUUGGAUUAAUACCUCAUAGUAUAGUACUUUGGCAUCAGGGAACUAUUAAAGUCACAACGGCAAAAGAUGAGCAUGCGUCCCAUUAGCUAGAUGGUAAGGUAACGGCUUACCAUGGCUACGAUGGGUAGGGGUCCUGAGAGGGAGAUCCCCCACACUGGUACUGAGACACGGACCAGACUCCUACGGGAGGCAGCAGUGAGGAAUAUUGGACAAUGGGCGCAAGCCUGAUCCAGCCAUGCCGCGUGCAGGAAGAAGCAUCUAUGGUGUGUAAACUGCUUUGUACGGGAAGAAACACUCCUACGUGUAGGAGCUUGACGGUACCGUAAGAAUAAAGGAUCCGGCUAACUCCGUGCCAG